CCUACAUCUAGAAGCUUUUCAGGUAUGGUUGCUGUGUCACAUGUGCUUCUGAAGGUGGCAGAGAAGAGAGGGGCUAUGUCUAUGCUCAGUAAUUUGAUUUGUCUGAAUGAUUAAUAGCCUAACACU